AUUAGACUUUAUUAAACGUUUCAUAUAAAAAGUAAAACAGCAAUUGUAAACCUGUCAGUUCAUAUUUGAAAAGGAUGAAGUGGGCUGAUACGGAUUAUACCAGAAGAUAGGAGAUGUAGGCAGACAGCAGCAGGAAACCCCUUGUUCAUAUUGUACAAAACCAAUCAUAAAGUGCAAGAAGAAAAAACAAGUUUGGAAAAAAUUACUAAACAACAGUUAUAAUGCUUGGCUUCUUCGAAAAACAAGAGAUGUUCCCAAUACAUAUGGCCUUUACUGCAUCAGGGCCAAUGAUGAAGACGAAGUUCUGUACAUUGGGUACUCAAACCGGAGUGUUCGAAAGAGAUUGUUGAUAUCAAAUGAUGAAAGGAAAAAGAAAGCAAAACAAAUAAUGGAUAAGCGAAUCUUCUAAUAUCAUAGCUUUCCAUACUUUCUCAAGACUAUAGGAAUGAAAAGUCACCAGUGGAAUGACUAACGUUGUUUUAAAUGUUCGGUUCAUUGAAAUAAUCAUAUACUUACAAACUCUUGACAAAGGAACAACUAGCAAUCUCGAUAUUUAUCAACAACACAUGCCGGUAUUGAUGAGAAAAACUUAAUUUCUGUAUUCUUUCAAUUUUUAGAGCAUUUUUCUUUAUUUAUAAAAAAAAAAAGAAGCUUAUUCUGUGAAAUUUGAAGAACAUGAUUUUACAAAUCAUUUUUUCUGCAAUUACUUUAUUCAUUAUAAAUUAUAAUUGUUUACA